GAUGAACGCUGGCGGCGUGCCUAAUACAUGCAAGUCGAGCGAAUGGAUUAAGAGCUUGCUCUUAUGAAGUUAGCGGCGGACGGGUGAGUAACACGUGGGUAACCUGCCCAUAAGACUGGGAUAACUCAGGGAAACCGGGGCUAAUACCGGAUAACAUUUUGAACCGCAUGGUUCGAAAUUGAGAGUCGGCUUCGGCUGUAACGUAUGGAUGGACGCGCGUCGCAUUAGCCAGUUGGUGAGGUAACGGCUCACCAAGGCAACGAUGCGUAGCCGACCUGAGAGGGUGAUCGGCCACACUGGGACUGAGACACGGCCCAGACUCCUACGGGAGGCAGCAGUAGGGAAUUUUCCGCAAUGGACGAAAGUCUGACGGAGCAACGCCGCGUGAGUGAUGAAGGCUUUCGGGUCGUAAAACUCUGUUGUUAGGGAAGAACAAGUGCUAGUUGAAUAAGCUGGCACCUUGACGGUACCUAACCAGAAAGCCACGGCUAACUACGUGCCAGCAGCCGCGGUAA
rnacentral:rRNA from 1 species